AUGGCGCCUAUCCACGGCAAGCAAACGCUGCUGGCGCUGGUGCUCGCGCUCGCGUUUGUCAGCGUCGUGGCGGCGCGAGGGGAAGCGCUGGCCGCCGCCCGGCACGAGCGGUGGAUGGCCAGGUACGGGCGCGUGUACGCGGACGCCGCCGAGAAGCUGCGCCGGCGGGAGGUGUUCGCGGCCAACGCGCGCCACAUCGACGCCGUCAACCGGGCGGGCAACCGGACCUACACGCUCGGGCUCAACCAGUUCUCCGACCUCACCAACGAGGAGUUCGCGGAGACGCACCUCGGGUACCGUCACCAGCCCGGCGGGCUCACGCCGGCGGCCGUGGUGAACGUGUCCAUGGCUCAGCUGCAGUCCACGCCGAACAGCGUGGACUGGAGGGCCCGGGGCGCCGUCACCCCAGUCAAGUACCAAGGUCACUGCGGGAGCUGCUGGGCGUUCGCGGCGGUGGCGGCGACGGAGGGGCUGGUGCAGAUCGCCACCGGCAACCUCAUCUCCAUGUCAGAGCAGCAGGUGCUCGAUUGCACGGGCGGCGCCAACAGCUGCAAGAGUGGCUUCGUCAACGCAGCCCUAACCUACAUCACCGCCAGCGGCGGCCUGCAGACGGAGGCAGCCUACACGUACAACGCCAAGCAGGGCGCGUGCCGCAGCGGCGGCCUCAGCCCAAACCCGGCCGCCUCCGUCGGCGUCCACCGGUCCGUGACACUGCACGGCGACGAGGGCGCGUUGCAGGUGCUCGUGGCCAGCCAGCCGGUGGCCGUGGCCGUGGAGGCCGACGCUGACUUCCACCACUACAGGAGCGGCGUGUACGUGGGCAGCCCGUCGUGCGGGCGGAACCUGCACCACGCCGUCACGGUGGUGGGCUACGGGACGGAGGCUGGCGGGCAGGAGUACUGGGUGGUGAAGAACCAAUGGGGGGCUGGGUGGGGCGAGGGGGGCUACAUGCGCCUCACGCGCGGGAGCGGCAACAACUGCGGCAUUGCCACCUUCGCCCGCUACCCCACCAUGGACAGCUCUUAA
rnacentral:rRNA from 1 species